rnacentral:rRNA from 1 species
UACGUAGGGUGCUAGCGUUGCUCGGAAUCACUGGGCGUAAAGCGCACGUAGGCGGAUUUUUAAGUCAGGUGUGAAAUCCUGGAGCUCAACUCCAGAACUGCCUUUGUUACUGGGAAUCUCGAGUCCGGGAGAGGUGAGUGGAACUCCGAGUGUAGAGGUGAAAUUCGUAGAUAUUCGGAAGAACACCAGUGGCGAAGGCGGCUCACUGGCCCGGUACUGACGCUGAGACGCGAAAGCGUGGGGAGCAAACAGG